AGCAGCGUGGCUUAAUGAGAAGAGCACGGGCUUGGGAGUCAGAGAUCGUGGGUUCUGAUCCCACCUCUGCCA
rfam:Ornithorhynchus anatinus chromosome 3, whole genome shotgun sequence.